AGAGUUUGAUCCUGGCUCAGGACGAACGCUGGCGGCGUGCUUAACACAUGCAAGUCGAACGAGGCUCUACCAGUGGCAACACUGGGAAAGGCCUAGUGGCGAACGGGUGAGUAACACGUGAAUAACCUGCCCCGAAGACCGGGAUAACAGCGGGAAACCGCUGCUAAUACCGGAUGUCCUCAUCGAACCGCAUGACUUGAUGAGGAAAUGGAUUCCGCUUCGGGAGGGGCUCGCGGGCUAUCAGCUUGUUGGUGGGGUGAAGGCCCACCAAGGCGACGACGGCUAGCUGGUCUGAGAGGACGAUCAGCCACACUGGGACUGAGACACGGCCCAGACUCCUACGGGAGGCAGCAGUGGGGAAUCUUGCGCAAUGGGCGAAAGCCUGACGCAGCAACGCCGCGUGAGGGAUGAAGGUCUUCGGGUUGUAAACCUCUUUCAAGCAGGGACGAUAAUGACGGUACCUGCAGAAGAAGCUCCGGCCAACUACGUGCCAGCAGCCGCGGUAAUACGUAGGGAGCGAGCGUUGUCCGGAUUCAUUGGGCGUAAAGAGCUCGUAGGCGGCUUGAUAAGUUGGAUGUGAAACCUCCAGGCUCAACCUGGAGUCGCCAUCCAAGACUGUCAUGGCUAGAGUCCGGUAGGGGCCCACGGAAUUCCUGGUGUAGCGGUGAAAUGCGCAGAUAUCAGGAGGAACACCGGUGGCGAAGGCGGUGGGCUGGGCCGGAACUGACGCUGAGGAGCGAAAGCGUGGGGAGCGAACAGGAUUAGAUACCCUGGUAGUCC
rnacentral:rRNA from 1 species